rnacentral:rRNA from 1 species
CCUACGGGAGGCAGCAGUGAGGAAUAUUGGUCAAUGGCCGGAAGGCUGAACCAGCCAAGCCGCGUGAAGGACGAAGGUGCCAAGCAUUGUAAACUUCUUUUGUCAAGGGACAAAAUCAGGCUCGAGAGCCUGACCGAGGGUACUUGAAGAAAAAGCAUCGGCUAACUCCGUGCCAGCAGCCGCGGUAAUACGGAGGAUGCGAGCGUUAUCCGGAUUGAGUGGGUUUAAAGGGUGCGUAGGCGGGCUGUUAAGUCAGCGGUAAAAGCCCGGGGCUCAACCCCGGCGAGCCGUUGAAACUGGCUGUCUAGAGAUGUCGAGAGGUAAGCGGAAUGCGUGGUGUAGCGGUGAAAUGCUUAGAGAUUGCGAAGAACCCCGAUUGCGAAGGCAGCAUACCGGCGGCGAUCUGACGCUGAGGCACGAAAGCGUGGGUAUCGAACAGGAUUAGAUACCCGGGUAGUC